rnacentral:rRNA from 1 species
GGGAAUAUUGCACAAUGGGCGCAAGCCUGAUGCAGCCAUGCCGCGUGAAUGAUGAAGGCCUUAGGGUUGUAAAAUUCUUUCGCCAAGGAUGAUAAUGACACUACUUGGUAAAGAAGCCCCGGCUAACUUCGUGCCAGCAGCCGCGGUAAUACGAAGGGGGCUAGCGUUGUUCGGAAUUACUGGGCGUAAAGCGCGCGUAGGUGGUUCGUUAAGUUGGAUGUGAAAGCCCCGGGCUCAACCUGGGAACUGCAUCCAAAACUGGCGAGCUAGAGUAUGGUAGAGGGUGGUGGAAUUUCCUGUGUAGCGGUGAAAUGCGUAGAUAUAGGAAGGAACACCAGUGGCGAAGGCGACCACCUGGACUGAUACUGACACUGAGGUGCGAAAGCGUGGGGAGCAAACAGGA